rnacentral:misc_RNA from 1 species
GUGCCACUGCUGCAAAUGAAUAGAAAAUUCCCCUACAAAGAAAGCAGCUUAGAAAUCUUAUGACAGUCUUAGGUGCAUCCAAAACAAUAUGGCUAAAUUAUCCCCAUAGAAGGGAAAUCGAACCUCAUUCUCAUCCCAAGAAAGAGCAAUCAAGCAUCAAUUUCAGAGAGAACCCACGAACCACGAUUAGUCUCAGAGAAAUAUUUACAUUAAAAGCCCCCAAAUUUCUAUAAAAACGUAAAUGUUGCUUGAUUGAUUAAUUAAUUAAUUAAGAACAACAAAAUGCAGCCCAGGACACUUUCUAGGAUAACUCAUCACAUUUAUAUGCAGGAGUAUUUUGUAGAAAGAGGCACAAAAGGAAACGAACCCUAUAUGAUGGAUAAUCAUAAUUAUUAUCAUCAAACAGUGAACUAAUGGGCAACGGAGUUGGUGGAGGCGGCGGCGGUGAGAUAGGCGUCGGGGUUAUCGUGGACAGUGGGCUUGGAGAGCAUGAGAGGUCGAUCCUUGGCCUCUUCGUCGUCAUCGUCGAGGUCGGUGGUAUUGAGGUUGAUGCAAGAGCAGCGUUCGAGGGAAGCGAAGAAUGCGGAGGCCACGUUGCUCCCCACCCAGUUGGCCACACGAUCCAGCUUAUCGCAUGAGAUAAAGCUGCAGUUGUUGUUUUCCAUCUUCUAACUCUGAACUGAAGGCUGAAUUUCGAUUUGGAUUUGCUUGAAUUC